GCUGUAGCUCAGUGGUAGAGCACUUGCCUAGGAUGUGUGAGGCACUGGGUGCGAAUCUCAGCACUGCA
rnacentral:tRNA from 1 species